AGUAGGAGCACGCAUGAGGACGGUAGUCACGGUACUGCGACAGAAGUUGGUGGACAUGGAACAGUACGUUGUUUUUCGCAACAAUAAAAGAGUCUCGGUGAAGAAGGACCUGACUGCAGAAGAACUAAACUGCAUAUUUCAGAAUAUCCAAAGACCAAAACAAACACGAAUCCGACCCAUCAUGUGCCCAAGUCUUCAUGUCAGGACACAUAACAGCUGUUCGUGGUUCUGAAACAGCGGUAGAGAUUCAUUAGAGCUGGAGAAUGGAAAGCGACACCACGGCGAGCGCUAAUCCUAAUGACACAGCGCAGUGGGAUACGCCGUUUCUCAACAAACAAUAAUUACGACACGGAGGAGCCGAGUCAAUUUGUCUGUGUUUGACGCCAGCGCAUAAGACAAAGGACCUGUGCAAGGACUCUAGGGGGAAAAGAAGCCGCAGUGUUUUCUGCAACGGAGACGAGUGUGAUCGUUGAGCUGAAAGGAACGCGUGAUCGUUACAAAAGCCCGACAGGAAACACUCUCCAGAUCCCACCACAUCCACGAGAAGAGUCCAGUCUGAACUCCGGUCCUCACCCAGGAGAUCGACUGACGUCUGAAGCUCUGCAGACCAUUUUCACAGGGACGCCAGCGCCGACGAGACAAAGCAUGUCUGAGUGCAUGAACAUGAGCAGGCCGCAUUUACUGCAAUUACUGUAUCAGUGACAGCGACUCGGACUGCUUUACACCGCAGAGAGGCACCCACGCCCGAGGAGGAAGAGUCGCGGCCGGCGGCAGGAAUCUGGUUGUCACCUCUAUCCCCAAAGCCCUCUCAAACACCCCUGAAGACAAACCAACUCAGAGCCAAGUGAGACUAGACACCACCGGCUGCCAGAGAGGUUGAAUUCUGGUGGUGGCAAUUAUACCUCGGGAAGGCUGAAGUGUGUCAGGUCCAUCCCCGCGCUACCUCUCCGCUGAUCCUCGGAGGGAAAAUUAGCUGAGCUAGCUCUAACGGGAUGAGGGAGGGAAUCCAUGGAGGAAUUUAGUAAAAAAAAAAAAAAAACAGCCCCUCGUGCAUGUAUCACAUGUCAGAUUAGCAUAGUGGGCAGAGAGGUGGAUCAUUUGGCAUGAAUAUUACGCUUUGAAACCUGAAAUAGGCCUGAACCGGCUCCCCCCGUCUCCUCCCCUGACAGCUGCCCUUGCGUGACUUUGCAGUGGUGACACGUUCGCUCGCGGCCUGUUUGAAAGGAGAUAAAUCCCCGAUGGGUGGCGGAGGAAGGAGAGAUGAGCGGCUUAGUGUCGAGCUCUGACAGAGACUUCAAGACGGCGGGAGGAGGGGGGGUGGGGUUCUUCAUGAACAUGACGGGAGGAGUGGAGUUACGCGGUGACCGGAUCGCCGUCCGUCUCCGCUCACACAUGAUCAUUAGACUCCUGGAGGCUCGGUUCUCAGAGGUGUGUUGUUAGAGAGGUUCAUGGUUUAUGUAGAAAAAUAUAUUCCUAAAGGAGUGGGAGGAAGUAAAACUCAUCCAGUCCUACGCCGUCUCCAUCAGUUAUUUAAAGCAUCCAUAUUUUACAAAAGGAAAACAGAUACUGCUUUCCUUUUGUAAAAUACGGAAGCAUUCAACGCCGUACUUUAGUGAUCUAACACACAAAAAAAUAAAAUAGUGCAGAGCAGAACAGACGUAUCGUAUUCGCUGAAUGAAGUGAAAUUUCACAAAUUCUCCGUGUGUCUCUUCUCAUUUCCUGCAUCAUGGUCUUAAGGUCAUUACCAUGGAGUUGCCAUGAAUCAGUUUCAAACAGGCAUCCACACAUUACAAGAAAAAAGAUUAAAAGGAGAGCGAUGCUACGCUAACACUACGCGCCACGUCGACCCUACCAUGGAAAAAUGCAGCAUCUUACACUGAAAAUGAACCUUUUUUUGUAUUUUUUCUUCAUGUUUUCUCUUUUCAUAUGAGUUGCUGCAAA